rnacentral:pre_miRNA from 1 species
AUCUUCAUCUUCUGAGGAUGUUGUUAAAACGCAGAUUCUGAUUCUGCAGAUGGGGCCUAAGAGUCUACAUUUUUAACAAGCUUCUAAGUGAUGCCAGU